AUGCAAGUCGAACGGUCUCUUCGGAGAUAGUGGCGGACGGGUGAGUAACGCGUAAGAAUCUACCUUCAGGUUGGGGACAACCACUGGAAACGGUGGCUAAUACCGAAUGUGCCGAGAGGUGAAAGGCUUGCUGCCUGAAGAAGAGCUUGCGUCUGAUUAGCUAGUUGGUGUGGUAAAGGCGCACCAAGGCGACGAUCAGUAGCUGGUCUGAGAGGAUGAUCAGCCACACUGGGACUGAGACACGGCCCUGACUCCUACGGGAGGCAGCAGUGGGGAAUUUUCCGCAAUGGGCGAAAGCCUGACGGAGCAAUACCGCGUGAGGGAGGAAGGCUCUUGGGUUGUAAACCUCUUUUCUCAGGGAAAAAAUAAUGACGGUACCUGAGGAAUAAGCAUCGGCUAACUCCGUGCCAGCAGCCGCGGUAAUACGGAGGAUGCAAGCGUUAUCCGGAAUGAUUGGGCGUAAAGGGUCCGCAGGUGGCAUUGUUUGUCUGCUGUUAAAGAGUCUGGCUCAACCAGAUCAAAGCAGUGGAAACUACAAAGCUAGAGUAUGGUCGGGGCAGAGGGAAUUCCUGGUGUAGCGGUGAAAUGCGUAGAUAUCAGGAAGAACACCGGUGGCGAAGGCGCUCUGCUAGGCCAAAACUGACACUGAGGGACGAAAGCUAGGGGAGCGAAUGGGAUUAGAUACCCCAGUAGUCCUAGCCGUAAACGAUGGAUACUAGGCGUAGCUCGUAUCGACCCGAGCUGUGCCGUAGCUAACGCGUUAAGUAUCCCGCCUGGGGAGUACGCAGGCAACUGUGAAACCCAAAGGAAUUGACGGGGGCCCGCACAAGCGGUGGAGUAUGUGGUUUAAUUCGAUGCAACGCGAAGAACCUUACCAAGACUUGACAUGUCACGAAUUCCGUUGAAAGAUGGAAGUGCCUUAGGGAGCGUGAACACAGGUGGUGCAUGGCUGUCGUCAGCUCGUGUCGUGAGAUGUUGGGUUAAGUCCCGCAACGAGCGCAACCCUCGUUUUUAGUUGCCAGCAUUAAGUUGGGCACUCUAGAGAGACUGCCGGUGACAAACCGGAGGAAGGUGGGGAUGACGUCAAGUCAGCAUGCCCCUUACGUCUUGGGCUACACACGUACUACAAUGCUCCGGGCAAAGGGCAGCUACACAGCGAUGUGAUGCGAAUCUCAUAAACCGGAGCUCAGUUCAGAUCGAAGGCUGCAACUCGCCUUCGUGAAGGAGGAAUCGCUAGUAAUUGCAGGUCAGCAUACUGCAGUGAAUUCGUUCCCGGGCCUUGUACACACCGCCCGUCACACCAUGGAAGUUGGUCACGCCCGAAGUCGUUACCCCAACCUUUUGGAGGGGGAUGCCUAAGGUAGGACUGAUGACUGGGGUGAAGUCGUAACAAGGUA
rnacentral:rRNA from 1 species